rnacentral:rRNA from 1 species
GACGAACGCUGGCGGCGUGCUUAACACAUGCAAGUCGAACGGAAAGGCCCUGCUUUUGUGGGGUGCUCGAGUGGCGAACGGGUGAGUAACACGUGAGUAACCUGCCCUUGACUUGGGGAUAACUUCAGGAAACUGGGGCUAAUACCGGCUAGGAGCUCCUGCUGCAUGGGGGGGGUUGGAAAGUUUCGGCGGUUGGGGAUGGACUCGCGGCUUAUCAGCUUGUUGGUGGGGUAGUGGCUUACGAAGGCUUUGACGGGUAGCCGGCCUGAGAGGGUGAACGGGCACAUUGGGACUGCGAUACGGCCCAGACUCCUACGGGAGGCAGCAGUGGGGAAUAUUGCACAGUGGGCGGAAGCCUGAUGCAGCAACGCCGCGUGCGGGAUGACGGCCUUCGGGUUGUAAACCGCUUUAGCCUGUGACGAAGCGUGAGUGACGGUAAUGGGUAAAGAAGCACCGGCUAACUACGUG